GCAACGAGCUGACGAAAGACAGCCGUCGGUCGAAAGAAACGCGCAGAGCGACGCGAGUCUACAGGCGGAAUCUGCUCCGUUCCUGCGGCCUCCUCACUCGCAUCUUCCAGCUUCAGAGAUCACGUUUUUUCUGCGCGGUUCACGGUUUCUCCAUGCACGGUCACGACCAUCUCACCGAAUUCGAUACACAAGGUAUCGCGAUAAGAGAAAAACAAAACAGCGGUCCGAUCGACAAGCACGAGCGUCUCUCCCCGGAACCGGACGAGACAGUCUCGUCCGUUCGACGGGUGGGGAAAAUCGAUAGGAAAAGGUGAGUUCAAAGCGCCAAGGCGAAAAGACAAAGAGACAGAGUUAUACACACAUCGUCGUUCGGUCAUUAAACGCUCUCGGGGCGCGCUCUCGGAAGACCAGUGACAAUUAAUAUUCGCAUGUCCGGUCGUGGAUCCCCGGCAGCGGUGGCGACGACUACGCGGCAACGGACAACGAACGAUGUCGGAAUGGUGGUCGCGAAGGUGUCGUCGCGUCUCUAUGAGGAAGAGGCGAUGAGGUGGAAAGCCGUCACCACCAUGGGCUGCUGCUACUGCUGAGAAAACAGGGUUACCUGUCGCACCGUGUCGCGUCCAGAGGGGGAGAGGAAGAGCGCGAGAAAGCGGUCUUGUGUGCGGACGGUAACAGCUGGUGCGCGAAAUCGCGCGAGAAAAAUGCCGAGGACAUCCGUCGGUUCUUGACGGGAGCGUGGUCGAGGAGAAGAGGUGGUCUGCGUGACUUGCGACCGUGACCUCUGACGAGGAACGAUGAUCGGCCGUCGGUGGCUGGUGCGCGUUCUGUGCGUGUUGCUGUGGCUGUCCUUGCGGCCGGACUACGUGCACGCCACACACAUCACCGGCACGUUCAACACGAGGGAGUUCUUCCGUUUCCUCAUCAAGUUCGGCUUCCAGAAGACCGAUCGCCAUCGACAGAAAGAUUCGUACGGCUACAUAUUCGGCAACGUGACCGCGCGCUCCGACUUCGACGCGCCAAUCACCCUGGCGAUAUUGGAUCGUGGCCACUUCCUCGAGUAUUAUGGCAAUCGCACGCUCGCGAACAAGAGCACCGCGUGCGCCUACAUGUUCAGCACGCUGAAACAGAGUUCCUAUGAUCCGCAUUGCAACGAGGAGGGUCAGGACUUCCUAAGGCGAGUACCGUGUCCCCGUGACAAACUGUGUCCGGACGAGGAUUCGGUGUGGAACAUUGUGAAGGGCCACCAAUUCACCUAUGUCAUACAGGACUUUUGGCAGCCACGAUUCUGGUACAUGAGUCUGGUUGCGUGCUACAGAAACGAGACUACCUGUCAAUGGGAGCAUUACGACAAGCACGAUGAACUGGAGUACGAUAUCUGGCUAGUAAACGGCAAUCCAAACACCAGUGGCCUAAACAGUCUGACUUACCAAUUCUCGUACGAUAAACAGAAUACUAUCGAGCUGUACUUAUUAUUUUUUAUGUGUUACAUCAUAUUGGUGCCGCUGCAGCUGUACGCAGUGAGAUUGCAAAAGCAUCCAGUAACAAGAUUGUUCACUGCUAGUUUAUUAUUAGAAUUUGUAGCGGUAUGUUUGAUCCUGAUACACGUGUUGAAAUUUGCACUAGAUGGAGUGGGCUAUGAACAAUUAGAAGUUGCAGGUGAUAUUUUUGAUAUUCUAUCGCGGACGUCGUUUAUGUUAUUAUUGCUCUUGCUUGCCAAAGGAUGGGCAGUGACGAGAAUGGAAUUAACAUGGAAACCACUAGUAUUUGCCAUAUGGUUUUGUUACGGAGUUGUCCACAUCUUGCUUUACGUGUGGAACAUGACAGAAGUCGAUAUUAUCGAGGACAUAGACGAAUAUCAAACAUGGCCAGGAUGGUUCAUAUUGUUAUUUCGAAGUGCAAUAAUGGUGUGGUUUCUGUGUGAGCUCCGCAACACUAUGACAUAUGAGCAUAAUACUCAAAAGCUACACUUUCUUUUACAUUUUGGUGCGUCGUCGUUAGUUUGGUUCAUAUAUCUGCCCAUUAUAGCACUCAUAGCUCUUCAAGUAAGCGCACUGUGGAGGUUUAAGCUGUUGCUAGGUAUAACGUACUCGGUAGACUGUUUCGCUUAUUGCGUAAUGGCUCAUCUAUUAUGGCCCACCAGAAGCGAACAAUACUUUUUACUUGCGCAAGGCGCGGAUAAUGGUGACGAACUCGACGAAUUUAACGAAGCGCCGCAUGUAUUGAACAAUUAUGUAGAGCCGCCAGAACUUGUUAAGAUAAUCACUUAAUACUCGUCCGCAUCGGAGAGGUGUAACGUUGAGAAACUGAUGAACGGCAUUUUUCAUUACGAACAAUGUGAUGUACAUUUGCCAAAUGGUCAGUCUAAUAGCAUGAGUAAAUACUCUAACGUGUAUGUGCUGCAUGAAAUACCAUGCGCGUCCUAUGAUUAGAGCCACUCUGCGAGUCUUUCGGUUCUAUAAAAAAAAAAUCCCAUGGCACAUCCUGUGUGUAUAUGUAAGGAUCAUCGGAAUCUCGUAAAUAAGACACACUUUUUGGUGCCGUCGUUGACUUGCCAUUACAUCUUGUAAUUAUUCUAUAUUUACUUCAUAUGAUGAGUACUCUGCGAUGUGCGCUUGGAUGAGAAUGGUGAAAAUAAAACACUUAUAUAAUUUUCGUAACAAUUUGAUUCCAAUCGCGUGUGUUGAGAGUUACGUAUGUGGUAGUUAUAUAUAUAAAAUUAUACUCACUAGCAGGAUUAGGAAGCUGUGAGCGCGCGUUUUACUGUUACACUAUUAUUGCUCAAUCUUGUAAUAACUUAGAUAGUAUAACGGUAUACACUCUCUUGGGAAUAUUUUAAUGCUGAGCACAUGUAUAUAUAACGUGAGAUCGGUGAAAUCUUUAUGAUAUAUUUAUAUUUCUAAUAUCUACACACACACACACACACACACUCUCUCUCUCUCUCUCUCUCUCUCUCUCUUCGAAUGAGAAAGCAAGUUUAGUAUAGUCUAUUUUCUCUUAACACAUUGUUUCGCAAAAUUGUAUUUAGAUUUUUAACAAUAUUUCUUUGAAAAACACUUAGACAUGUUAUAUAAAUUGCUUACAAUACAUGAAGGCAGUACAGCAUAUAUAUAAUUUACCUCAAAAAAUUGUGUCUAAGAUUUUAAAAUGCCAUUUACAAGUAAAUAGAAAAAGAAUAA
rnacentral:misc_RNA from 1 species